rnacentral:lncRNA from 1 species
GGCAAAACUGGAAAGUAAAAGAAACAAAGAAAAAGAAGAAAGGUGAAAGCUGAACAGAAGGCAAAAAGAAGUCCAUCUCGGAAAAUCCAACCAUGCAAAAAAAAGAUCAUGAAACUUGGGGGGCAGGUAGCCCAUAGCUCCUCCAAAGUAAACCCCUCUUUUGCCAUAAUACUCCAUAGUUUUUUAAAUCAGAUUUUAGGCACAUACCCAAGCACAACUGUAUUGAGCUGUUCCCUAGAGCCCAGGCUAGUACUGAAGUAUAGUGAUAAGCCCCGAGUUAAAUUCACCUAUAGCAGACGCAAGAAGGCACUAGAGGGGAUCAACCAUAUGACAGCAGGGCCUUAGUUAUUUACAGAUUCUGUUAAGGGUUGUUAGCUAUUUUUGUUAAAGUUAGUUACGGGAAGGGCUAUAAAUAAAUGAGCUGGGGGGAAAAUGGGUAGAAU